CUGUCUUGUGUUUUGGUGACUGCCUUGCCAAACUGACAAAAACUGCAGCUGUGCAUCAGGAAACGCUAGGAAAAGGGAGGGGAAGAAUGGAACGCAACCUGUGGGGCGACAGGGUUAUCUCCGUGUUUCCAGAGAAGGUGAGAAGAGCAAACAUCGCAGCUACAGCGGAAAACCUAACACCUGGGGAUUGGGCCAUUUGAACUGACUGGAUGAACUACUAUGGGGUGGGGUUUUUGCUUGGGACACUUUUGCCUAUCGAUCUGAGCGGGAAAUGCUCAGAUCCUGUCUAGUAUGCCUGCUAUCAGCUUCUCCUAAUAAAAGAUCCUUUUGGAAGAAA